rnacentral:lncRNA from 1 species
GAAGGCUCGAAACGAGAAAGUGUACUGAAAUACUGAUAUAGAUCCACGGGUUACACUAAAAAUAGCGGAAACAGAAGCGAUAUUAUGGGAGGAGGCUCAAAGCUCCGAACAGGAUUCAACACAUAUAGAUCUUUUCAAUACUGCAAACUUGUCAAUACCUAUAGUCUAUGAAGGCUGGUGGUGUUAUAUUGAUGGAUCUUGGAAAUAUACGGAGUCAGUAACGGGUCUAGGAUGGUUCUAUUUUAAGGAAGGUGUCACA